rnacentral:rRNA from 1 species
GGGGAGCCGGCGACGGCACCCUAUCGCUGAGAAGUCGAUCAAACUUGGUCAUUUAGAGGAAGUAAAAGUCGUAACAAGGUUUCCGUAGGUGAACCUGCGGAAGGAUCAUUAUNGAAAUUAUAGGUGAGGGUUGKAGCUGGCCUCUCGGGGCAUGUGCACGCCCGAGCCCUUAAUCCACACACACCUGUGAACCUAUUGUAAGGGCCCUUAAAAAAGGCCUUUACGUCUUAUCAUCAACCCAUCGUAUGUCUCAUAGAAUGUAAAUAUAUGUCCUCGCCUUAAAAAGCGUUGAUAAACUUAUACAACUUUCAACAACGGAUCUCUUGGCUCUCGCAUCGAUGAAGAACGCAGCGAAAUGCGAUAAGUAAUGUGAAUUGCAGAUUUUCAGUGAAUCAUCGAAUCUUUGAACGCACCUUGCGCUCCUUGGUAUUCCGAGGAGCAUGCCUGUUUGAGUGUCAUUAAAUUCUCAACUCUGAUCGAUUUGUUUCGACUUCGGAGCUUGGAUUUGGAGCGUGCUGGCGUCGGUCGGCUCCUCUUAAAUGCAUCAGCGGAAUCUAACGUUUCGGACGUCAGUGUGAUAAUCAUGUUGCGCUGUCUGUCUGAUCCGAAAGCCCGCUCACAAUGGUCUUCGGACAACUUCAUAUCAAAUUUGACCUCAAAUCAGGUAGGACUACCCGCUGAACUUAAGCAUANNNAUAAGCGGAGGAAAAGAAACUAACAAGGAUUCCCCUAGUAACUGCGAGUGAAGCGGGAAAAGCUCAAAUUUAAAAUCUGGCGGUCUUGCGGCCGUCCGAGUUGUAAUCUGGAGAAGCGUUUAUCCGCGUCGGACCGUGUACAAGUCUUCUGGAA